GAUGAACGCUAGCGGCAGGCUUAACACAUGCAAGUCGAGGGGUAACAUAGAAAAGCUUGCUUUUCUGAUGACGACCGGCGCACGGGUGCGUAACGCGUAUACAACCUACCUUUUAGCGGGGAAUAGCCCAGGGAAACUUGGAUUAAUGCCCCAUAGUAUAUGGACUUCUCCUGAAGUUUAUAUUAAACAUUUAUGGCUAUUAGAUGGGUAUGCGUCCUAUUAGUUAGUUGGUAAGGUAACGGCUUACCAAGGCAGCGAUAGGUAGGGGUCCUGAGAGGGAGAUCCCCACACUGGUACUGAGACACGGACCAGACUCCUACGGGAGGCAGCAGUGAGGAAUAUUGGACAAUGGGCGAGAGCCUGAUCCAGCCAUGCCGCGUGCAGGAAGACUGCCCUAUGGGUUGUAAACUGCUUUUACAGAGGAAGAACCACCCCCACGUGUGGGGGUUUGACGGUACUCUGCGAAUAAGGAUCGGCUAACUCCGUG
rnacentral:rRNA from 1 species